GAUUUUAAUAUUGAUUUUGCCCGGCGCCAUCUAUUAAUCACUUACCUAACUAGCUCAGUUAUAAUGUAAAACCUGCAUGAAAUCUCCUAUCUGUGGAGGUGUGGGGGAAAAGAUUUCUGAAAUAUCAAUUGAACAAAACGACACAAAAAAUAAAGUUAUACAAAAUGGUGGAUAAAGAAAAACAAAAUACUGUCGAAUAUGUACGGAAAUCUUGAGAAUAUAUUGGAAAAUAAAAGGCUUUGUUAUGCAACAUCAAAAAUACAAGGUUAUCUCGUCGAAAAUCUGAAUAAAGAAAUACGAUGCAAUGAAUUUGACUAUGAAAUAAA
rnacentral:lncRNA from 1 species